GCUGUGAUGGCCGAGCGGUUAAGGUGUUGGACUUUGAAAUCCAAUGGGGUCUCCCUGCGCAGAUUCGAAUCCUGUUCACAGCG